rnacentral:rRNA from 1 species
UAGGGGAAUUUUCGUCAAUGGGGGCAACCCUGAACGAGCAAUGCCGCGUGAGCGAAGAAGGUCUUCGGAUUGUAAAGCUCUGUUGCCGGGGAAAAAGGAAGGAAAGAGGAAAUG